rnacentral:SRP_RNA from 1 species
GCCCGGUGCGGUGGCGCGUGCCUGUAGUCCCAGCUGCUCGGGAGGCUGAGGUGGGAGGAUCGCUUGAGCCUAGGAGUUCUGGGCUGUGGUGCGCUAUGCCGAUCAGGUGUCGGCACUAAUUUUGGCAUCAAAAAUAUGGUGACCUCCGGGGAGCAAGGGAUCACCAGGUUGCCUAAGGAGGGGUGAACUGGCCCAGGUCGGAAACGGAGCAGGUCAAAAUUCCUGUGCUGAUCCGUAGUGGCAUUGCGCCUGUGAAUAGCCACUGCACUCCAGCCUGGGCAACAUAGUGAGACCCUGUCUCU